GACACGACAUCCAAUACUGGAUGAACUCUUGACACUUGUAGAAGUACUUCUGCACCGUGUAUGUUUUGUGUUCUUGGAAUCUGAAUUACCUUUUUAAAUAUUGGACUUUGGAUCUGGUGAUGUCUGACCUGCCGAGAUGGAUGCAUAUUUCAAAAGCAAUAAGCACAGAAAACGAAAUAAGGAGAGAGCAACACAGCUUGGUCUGCUCCACUUCCGUUAUUGGUGGUUCAAAGAGAAUUGCAACAACCCACAUAAAAAAGCGACAUACUGUUUUACAAGUUAAACAUUUUAAUUUAGAUGCAGUAAAGACUUGUAAUAACAUCUCUCCCUACUGCACCUCCGAUUGGAGUCUUAACUAGCAGACGUUUUAUUGCCCCACAUAAGUGGCCAUAAUUCCAAUUUUAUCCUCUUUUCUUUGCAAAUGAACAACCGCAUUUUCAUUUAAAUCCUAUUAUCUGGAUGAUGCCUCAUGUUCAAGUUUUUUUUUAUUUCUAUUUGUUUGGGUGCAUGUUGUUAUUGCCCCCAGCUUGCUGUUUUAAGGAGAAGAACAAAUUUUUCCUUUGUUUCCAAUUUCGUUUGUGAUAAAAACUAAAAUUUGUCUGGGGAAAAUAAAGUUGAUUACCCUAUGUGUUUAAGCACUACACUGCCAUAAAUAUAGUGGUAUAUGUGAUGUUUAACCCUUGUGCUUGUUAUGGUGCCUGUCAGUCUCCUCCCCCUCCCCCUCCUGCUCUGCACCUGACUCCACCAGCUGGGACCUAUUCACCUAAUCACCUGCUUCAGCUCUUAAGGAGACUCAGCCUCAGUAUUCGACGCCAGUUCGUUGCCCCUUAUGGAUUCCAGCCUUCAAUUGUCUCCUGUGUGGAAGUCAGUCCGAGCCCUCCAGAAGCCCUGUGAAAACUUCAAGCUCAGUAAAGCCGCUCUACUACCUCCAGCCACGCCACAAGCCACUGUCCUCGCCAGCUUCUUACCAAGCCAUCACCAUCUCUCCUGGAAAGAAAAUAAAAUCUCUUCCUUAACUCUCA